CUAAGUGGUUAGGAGUUGGACCGAUGUGUUAGUAUCGGUUUGCUGGGUCUACCCGGUCCGCAUCGCACCAUUGACCAGCCGUGCAUUCGCGUUUCUACCUUGGUGACGUGUCGCGUUUGCACCUGUCACGCUGUCUAUGCCGAAUCUUGAGAAGAAACGGCCGCUGAACGGAUGUUAAUUAGAAAUGUAAUGACGCUCGGAGACUUGGUGACUCACCUCACCGUUGCAGAAACAGAAUAAAAUGGCGACGCAGAGUCCCUGUGAAGCAAAAUUCAUUUGGAAUUAACAAUUAAAUGAGUUCAACUUAAAUGUUCCGUGAAAUGAGCAUGUAGCAUCCGGGAAAACAUUGAAUUUACCUGAAAAGAGGCCGUGAUUGCAGAAAGAACCUCGUAAAAUUGCUCCCACGGGUGGUCCUUCGGCGGUCUGAAGGGGAUCACCAAAUAAUGUAAACCCAAAAGUGGCACCAGAAGCAGCGUCGCCCUGGAAAAAAGCGAAACCAUUAAACCAUGAAGGUUUAGUGAGGCCAGUUGGAACCAGCUAAUACUGAACAAUGAUGCAUAUAAAUAAUGGUAGCACUAUUUUUAUACGACAAACAAUAUUCCUGUCAUGAAGCACGUAUAAUGUACACCAAGUAAAAGUAACGAUG